UGGGGAAUAUUGGACAAUGGGGGCAACCCUGAUCCAGCCAUGCCGCGUGCGUGAAGAAGGCCUUAGGGUUGUAAAGCGCUUUCAGCGGGGACGAUGAUGACGGUACCCGCAGAAGAAGCCCCGGCUAACUCCGUGCCAGCAGCCGCGGUAAUACGGAGGGGGCAAGCGUUGUUCGGAAUUACUGGGCGUAAAGGGCGCGUAGGCGGCACAUCAAGUCAGAGGUGAAAGCCCCGGGCUCAACCUGGGAACUGCCUUUGAAACUGCUGAGCUAGAGUCCGGAAGAGGAUAGCGGAAUUCCCAGUGUAGGGGUGAAAUUCGGAGAGAUUGGGAAGAAAGCCAGUGGCGAAGGCGGCUAUCUGGACCGGUACUGACGCUGAGGCGCGAAAGCGUGGGGAGCAAACAGGAUUAGAUACCCCCGUAGUCC
rnacentral:rRNA from 1 species